GCGGCAACGGGUGACUGGCGACACCGCGGACCAAUCGCACUGGCCUCCGGAGUGCCGCCCGCGCUCACCUGCGGGGGCGGGGCUGCGUCCGCCAUUUUGGGUCUCGCCCGCCCAUCCCACAGCCCCUCGGGCGGUGCCGCUCCCUGCGGCGCAUCCGGCGGGAAGACGGUCUGUCAUGCUCGCCCGGUGCACGAGGAGCAGCUCUGCGUGCUCCACCCCUGCUUCGCCGGUGUGGGGUGACCGGGCCGAGGAGCUGGGGCUUGGCCGCCGUGCAGGCAGCGAAACCAUAGGGGUGAAACUGUUGUCCAGCGACAGCGCGGGUUCCCUCUGUUCUCGGUGCUGGUGAGGGGCACCUCGAGUACUGUGUCCACUUUGGGGCCCCUCACUACAGGAAAGACAUUGAGGUGCUGGAGAGGGUCCAGAGAAGGGCAGUGAAGCUGGGGAAAGGUCUAGAGACAGGAAGGGGAAGAGAGAGAAAGAGCACAGAGUGCAGUUUUUCGAGAGCCUUGGUGGGGGCACUGAACUGGGGAGUACCAUUCCUAAACUACAACACCUGAGGAGAGCCUGAAGCUUUGAGAUGGCACAUUGGGAAGCCUAAGCCAACUGUUCUGCUGCAUGCAUGCCUGAAUUGAUUACAUUGUUCUGUGGAGCUCAGAGACUCUCCCUCCUGUUGGUCUGUCCCUGUGUGAAACAGGAAUUCACAGUACUAGAAUGAGUCAGAAGUGAAAGCCAGAGCCGCUCCCCCGAGCUUGGACAUCAAUUUGGAAACACCUAGAUCCCACUCUCAGUCCAAAUGGUUUGUGAGGGCAAGUGUUCCAGCUAAGAUCUUGCAGUUGGACACUUUGCCUUUGCUUGGAUCACUGGCAGCUCUCAUGUCAGGCUCAGAUCUUCAGGGCUAUUUUCAUGAGAUGAAAGAAAUCUUAAUUAAGUGUUCAUAUCUUUGUCAGCCAGACUCAGAAUAAAAAUUGAUGCGAUUCCCUUGA